UGGGGAAUUUUGGACAAUGGGCGAAAGCCUGAUCCAGCAAUGCCGCGUGUGUGAAGAAGGCCUUCGGGUUGUAAAGCACUUUUGUCCGGAAAGAAAUCCUUGGCUCUAAUACAGUCGGGGGAUGACGGUACCGGAAGAAUAAGCACCGGCUAACUACGUGCCAGCAGCCGCGGUAAUACGUAGGGUGCAAGCGUUAAUCGGAAUUACUGGGCGUAAAGCGUGCGCAGGCGGUUUGCUAAGACCGAUGUGAAAUCCCCGGGCUCAACCUGGGAACUGCAUUGGUGACUGGCAGGCUAGAGUAUGGCAGAGGGGGGUAGAAUUCCACAUGUAGCAGUGAAAUGCGUAGAGAUGUGGAGGAAUACCGAUGGCGAAGGCAGCCCCCUGGGCCAAUACUGACGCUCAUGCACGAAAGCGUGGGGAGCAAAACAGGAUUAGAUACCCUGGUAGUCCACGCCCUAAAACGAUGUCAACUAGUUGUUGGGGAUUCAUUUCCUUAGUAACGUAGCUAACGCGUGAAGUUGACCGCCUGGGGAGUACGGUCGCAAGAUUAAAACUCAAAGGAAUUGACGGGGUCAUAGCUGUUUCCU
rnacentral:rRNA from 1 species